GGCUAGCCACAUUGUACGAUUACACGAAGAAUGCGGAUUAUAAGACGAGUUUGGUGGAUGAAUUGCUGAGGAACGAGGCGGUGAAGGCGGCGUUGGGGGCGAAAGGGGCGGCGCCUUUCGAGCGGUGCAGCAAUCUGGUGGGGGAUGUAUUGAACGAGGACGUGAUGAAGAGCGUGAAGUACAUGGUGGAGUAUCUGCUGAAGAAGACCAAGGUGUUACUGUACCAGGGGCAGUAUGAUUUGAGAGACGGCGUCGUCUCGUCGGAGGCGUGGAUGAAGACGAUGAGGUGGGAGGGGAUUGGGAAGUUUAUGGCGGCUGACCGGAAAGUUUGGAAGGUGGAGGGAGAGGUUGGUGGGUAUGUGCAGAAGUGGGGGAGCUUGAGCCAUGUUAUGGUUUCAGGAGCAGGUCAUCUUUUGCCGGCGGACCAGCCGGUGAGGGCGCAGGCGAUGAUAGAAGAUUGGGUUUUGAACAAGGGGUUGUUCGCAAAUGUUAAGGAAUAAGAAAAUACGAAAUUGUUCCUUAAAUUGUUUGUUGCUUAAAAGUGUUUAUUUUUGCACAAUAAAUUUUGGGUUUAGGUUUAAAAUCUUCUACCUUUACAUAAAACAGAAAAGCAAAGGUAACGAUGUCUGAAAUCAGUUAUUUAUCAACACGUGUUUUAACUUUUUUACGUAACGUGAACGGCAUUCAAACUCCUUUUGAACCUUAUUCUCCUCCUUUCCGUUUCUGCCUUUCUGUUCUUUCAACUUUUCCCCCUAUCUUCCCUUUGUCGAAUUCAUGCCCCACUUUUACCACCAACCUCCAUUAAUUCCUAAACAAGCUCACCGCACUAAAUCAGGCUACUUCUCUGAGAACGGAUCCUCUCCGGAGCUAAGCAGCCGGAGCCUCUUCAUCAAACAAUUAGGAUCAUUGAUUGAUGUGCAAGUUAAAUCAAGGUUGUUGGUUGUGUGUGGUGGCCAGUAAAAUGAAUUAAUAGAAACCGUUGGAUUCAAUUUAUGCGGUCUAAAUUGUUUGAUGAGGAGGUUUUAACUGCUUGGCUACGGAGAGGAUCCGUUCUCCUCAUAGUCAACUCCACCACUUCCUCUUCCAUUUUCUACACCUUCUAUGAAGCUCAGAGCCUCGAAGCCUCACCCGAUCGCGAUCCCUCGCAAACCCUGCUUCUCGUUUGGCUCAAAGGCAGCCCGGGAUGCUCCUCCUUGUUUGGCAACUUCAUGGAGAUUAGUCAUUGGUGUGAAUGCAAAUUUCUUCCUCCUUACUCUUGGACAAAAUUGCACCUACAAAACAAAUAACACCUUAGGUCAAGGCCAAGAGCCUCACGCGCAUAUGAUGAAUGAGGGGCUUUGGCUGAAGAACUUCCGAUGCCAAAGUUAGAAUUUUGAGGGAAAAGUGUUUGGAGAAUUUAAAAAGUUCAGCAAGAGAAUUAGGAUUAGGUUUUUUUAGAGAAAAUGGGGUGGUAUAUAUAGGGCAUGGCCAGCCCCCUUGGGAGAGAAGGUGACCGGCCUCUUGUGUGGUUUUUUAGGUGUAAUGGUAGUUUAAUUAGCCAUUAAUAGAUUAAUUAGGUAAUAAAUUCAUUAAUUAGCCAAUUAACAUAAUCUAAAAUGAAUGUUUUGGGGGUUACCUUGUGGAGAUGAUGGAUGAAAUAGGUUUUGAAUAAAUACCUAUUUUGGGCACUUUUGACUUAAUUGUAGGAUGAUUGUCCACUACUUGCGCGUAGGAAUCCCGGUGUGCUUCGAGUGUAAUUUUAUCCUUUUUAUUCAAAAAUCCACAUGUCGCCUUGUAAUUAUUUUUGGCUCCACACUUGACAUGUCAACCUUCAUGCCGCCCACAAUGAUCAUGAUCAACAAGUACACUUUGUGCUUGAGCCAAACCUGGGUGCUUGGAACAUAGUUUCUGGCCUUCUUUUCCUCGACAACCAAAUUAGUACCUGAUUUAGCAUCGCACCUCUACCUUGUGAUCAUAAAUUGGACAACAUAUUGGUUUUUUUCUUUCUUCAUUUUUUCUUUGAAUUUUAGAGUUUAGGGUUUAGGGGAAAGUUAAAUUCAGGAGGGAAUUAGCCAAUUAUAAAAAUUCAUGAUGUAAUUGGUUAAAAUUAAAAUUUAGGAUGGUAAUUGGCAAAUCCUUACAAGUUCGGAGAGAAAAUCGGUCAAUACCUCUUUUUAAAUCAUUUUCUUCUUAUUAUUAUUUAGGAUGCUUUGGUAGAUGAUAAUUUUAGAUUGGUCAAAUUUUAUGUCCUCCCACACAAAAUUUAUUUCAUGAAUAAAAUCCCCCUUACAUGUUCAAAAGUUUAUAAAAAAAAAGAAAAUCAAAACUCAAGAGUCAAAAGUGCACAUGAAAGCAUUUACUAAAUUCACAAUCAUCUCACUUUAAAUGUUCAUUAAUCAAUUUGAAUGAAACCAACUGAUUGAAUAUAAUAAUCAUCAUAAGUGAAUUGCAAUGUGACACGGUUUCAUUAAGCUACGGAGGCUGAGAUGAUGGGUCCCGUUACGUUAGGUUUAGAAUUCACAUCGCUUCUAGAUAACUAAUUCAUUUUUCAUGACACGAGUAUAUCAUCACAUAUGACAUCCGUGUCGAUGAAAUAAGAGGUAUCUAAAUAAAAAAUUACACAUGUAUUUAUUUUAUUGACAUGGAACGUCACUUUGAUGAUGUAAUCGUCCUACAUAGGUAGUGUACUCGUACAGCGUAAAUAUUUAUCCACAAAGAAUGUAAUAUUACGUGAGCAUGAUGAUUUCCUUGCAUGAACUGUGUCUUUAUACAUUUGUAUUGUACGGUUGUACCCAGAGAAAGACAAGAAAGAAAAAAAUCGCGUAGGCAACAAGAGUCAAAAUCAACAAUGCUUGGAGGUGAGGAAUGAGAUUGAGAAGCCAAAUCAAAUGAAUGUCACAAGAAAACAUGCAAUUUACUUGGCAUCUUGUAUUUCAAAGAUUCGAGAAAUUUUUUGAUGUGUUGCAAACACGAAAAAUUUUAACCAAUUGUAUUAUGACACUUAAUAUAUCGAGUUAUUUUACUAGUAUACUAAAAAUUUUCUCCAAAGCUUCUUGUCAUUAUAGCAAUCCCAAAAAUUUGUACCGCUUAAAAAUACCGAACUAUGUCCUGACAUACUAAAAUAAACAUUUCCGAAGAUUCUUAUCAUUACAUCAGCCCCAAAGAUUCGCUUUACGACUCUUCCGACUUUGUAAGGUUGCAAUGUAUGUAAGCAGCUUGCUUGGCCGAGAGUUGACCUAUGUAAAGCGACAACUCUUUUAGUUAUUACUAUUAGUACCUAAAAUUUAUCUGCUUCGUCACAAAAUUCAACUUUAUAAUUAGUUUGAAAUACUGCUGCUGGCACAUGUAUCAUUCAAAGUCGUAUGUAUCGUCCAAAGUCGUACAUGCCGCCUCUUUCAAGCUUUCCUUAUUUCUAUAAAGCCUUAUCGUCAAGGAAGGUGUCUGCACUCCCUUGCACUCCACUUUUAUCAUCAAUGGAGUCAACCGCCCGAAACCAUCUCAACCUCCUCUUCCUCCUCCUCCUCCUCCUCUCCUUCUUUCAACGACGCGUCGCCACCGCAUCGUCCCCCCCUCUCUUCCCUAAAGAAGCCCACCCCACCAAAUCAGGCUACCUCCCGGUCAACUCCACCAGCGGCUCUGCCAUUUUCUACGCUUUCUACGAAGCUCAGAACCUCACAACGGACAUUUCCAAAGUCCCCCUCCUUUUCUGGCUCCAGGGUGGCCCCGGCUGCUCCUCCAUGCUCGGCAACUUCUACGAGCUCGGCCCCUGGCUCGUGAAUUUCCACAAACACCCUUCUGAUCCCCUGGCCUUGGAACCCAAUUCCGCCUCCUGGAACAGAAUCUUCGGCGUGACCUUCCUCGACAACCCGAUCGGUUCCGGAUUUAGCAUCGCCGCUAACUCAGCGGAGAUCCCGAGAGACCAGGGCGCCGUCGCGAAACACCUCUUUGCCGCGAUCACGAAGUUCAUUGAGCUUGACCCGUCGUUCAAAACCCGACCCAUUUACAUAACCGGCGAGAGCUACGCCGGAAAGUAUAUUCCAGCGAUCGGGUACUACAUUUUGCAAAAAAAUGCUGGGUUGCCUGCUGGGUCUAAAGCUGUGAACUUGCAGGGCGUUGCGAUCGGAGACGGUCUCACAGACCCCAUAAUUCAGGUGAACACUCACGCCGUCAACGCUUUCCACUCUGGUUUGAUCAAUGAGAAACAGAGGAGGGAGCUGGAGAAGCUGCAAAUGGUGGCGGUCGGGUUGACGGCGGCGAGGAAAUGGAGCGCGGCGACGGAUGCGAGAAACAAAGUGUUGAAUACGCUGCAGCAGAUGACGGGGCUAGCCACAUUGUACGACUACACGAAGAAUGCGGGAUACAAGACGAGUUUAGUGGAUGAACUGCUGAGGAACGAGGCGGUGAAGGCGGCGUUGGGGGCGAAAGGGGUGGCGCCUUUCGAGCGGUGCAGCAAUCUGGUGGGGGAUAUAUUGCACGAGGACGUGAUGAAGAGCGUGAAGUACAUGGUGGAGUAUCUGCUGAAGAAGACCAAGGUGUUAUUGUACCAGGGGCAGUAUGAUUUGAGAGACGGCGUCGUC
rnacentral:lncRNA from 1 species